rnacentral:rRNA from 1 species
GAGAGUUAAACAGUACGUGAAAUUGUUGAAAGGGAAACGAUUGAAGCCAGUCGUACCUUCGGGUAAUCAGCCUUUCGGGUGCGAUUCUGUGGAGUGUGAGGAGCUUAAACACCUUCAUGUUUUGCAUAUUCGUACUCUUGGGUGUACUUGCCCGUGUGGUUGGUUAACAUCAAUUUUGGUGGUCAUAAAAUGACUGGGGGAAUGUAGCUUCGAUCUUGUAUUGAAGUGUUAUAGCCUUCGGUAGAUGUGAUGAUCGAGAUUGAGGAUUGCAACGGAUACCCUUUGGGGCUACCUGUCUGAUCUCUGAUCGUUGCUUUGGUGCCGAAAGCUUGCUUACGGUUAUCAAAGUCGAUGGUCAAUAGGUUAGAACGGGUUAAAUUCGUUAAGGAUGUUGGCAUAAUGGCUUUAAACGA